rnacentral:rRNA from 1 species
GAUGAACGCUAGCUACAGGCUUAACACAUGCAAGUCGAGGGGAAACGACAUCGGAAGCUUGCUUUGAUGGGCGUCGACCGGCGCACGGGUGAGUAACGCGUAUCCAACCUGCCCACCACUUGGGGAUAACCUUGCGAAAGUAAGACUAAUACCCAAUGACGUCUCUAGAAGACAUCUGAAAGGGAUUAAAGAUUUAUCGGUGAUGGAUGGGGAUGCGUCUGAUUAGCUUGUUGGCGGGGUAACGGCCCACCAAGGCGACGAUCAGUAGGGGUUCUGAGAGGAAGGUCCCCCACAUUGGAACUGAGACACGGUCCAAACUCCUACGGGAGGCGGCAGUGAGGAAUAUUGGUCAAUGGGCGAGAGCCUGAACCAGCCAAGUCGCGUGAGGGAAGACGGUCCUACGGAUUGUAAACCUCUUUUGUCGGGGAGUAACGUGCGGGACGCGUCCCGUAUUGAGAGUACCCGAAGAAAAAGCAUCGGCUAACUCCGUG